rnacentral:piRNA from 1 species
AUCUUCAAAUCUUGAGUUUGUUUCUUGUAG